rnacentral:rRNA from 1 species
UGCCUAACACAUGCAAGUCGAACGGCAGCACAGGUAGCAAUACCGGGUGGCGAGUGGCGGACGGGUGAGUAAAGCAUCGGGAUCUACCCUGACGUGGGGGAUAACCUCGGGAAACCGGGACUAAUACCGCAUACGUCCUACGGGAGAAAGCGGGGGACCUUCGGGCCUCGCGCGGCAGGACGAACCGAUGUGCGGUUAGCUAGUUGGCGGGGUAACGGCCCACCAAGGCGACGAUCGCUAGCUGGUCUGAGAGGAUGAUCAGCCACACUGGGACUGAGACACGGCCCAGACUCCUACGGGAGGCAGCAGUGGGGAAUAUUGGACAAUGGGCGCAAGCCUGAUCCAGCAAUGCCGCGUGUGUGAAGAAGGCCUUCGGGUUGUAAAGCAC